CACGAGGCUCUUUUCAGAGCCACCAAUUUAAGGACUGAAAAAGAU
rfam:Pteropus alecto contig104251, whole genome shotgun sequence.